ACUCCUACGGGAGGCAGCAGUGGGGGAUAUUGCACAAUGGAGGGAACUCUGAUGCAGCGACGCCGCGUGAGUGAAGAAGUAUUUCGGUAUGUAAAGCUCUAUCAGCAGGGAAGAAAGGCCCGCAAGGGAGAUGACGGUACCUGACUAAGAAGUCCCGGCUAACUACGUGCCAGCAGCCGCGGUAAUA
rnacentral:rRNA from 1 species